UCUGGUAAUGAUGGCAGAGAGGUCACACCCGUUCCCAUACCGAACACGGAAGUUAAGCUCUCUAGCGCCGAUCGUAGUUGGGACCUUGUCCCUGUGAGAGUAGGACGUUGCCAGGC
rnacentral:rRNA from 1 species